GCACGGAGCCCGAGUCUUCCUCUACGAAGUCUUCUCCAGGCGGAGGCCUGAGAGGCGUCCCGGAGGUCGCCGGGCCCGCUUUGCGUACAACCCGGGAAAAGGCCCCUCAGGCGUGAGGCUGAUGCUGGGAGGAGGGUGGAAAAAUCUGAGUCACCAACCCCCGAACAAAUGGCGGCGGGGGCCGUGCGGUUGACUGACCGAGGCCCGAGGCCGAGGGCGGCCUUUGAGCGGCGGUGAGCUUCCCGAGGCAGCAGGGGGAGCCUGACGCCGAGGGAGGCCGGUGGCUGGGAGAACCCAGAACGGCCUGACCCUGGGGAGAGGAGAGUUCGGGGUCCGCGCUCAGCGCCGCGACUCCGAAGUCCCAGGAUCCCAGAAAAGGUGCGCUCUGGACCAAACUGCGGACCCGCCGGGGAGAGCGCCCCAACAAGCAGAGAGCAGGACUGGCGCCCUGGUGUAGGGGGGCUCUUCAGGCAGCUCAGUCCUGCCGCGCAAGCUGGGGAGAAGGUAGCGGUGCGCGCUGCGGGAAUCCCGCCGGGACCGAGGGUCGCGCCGCGACUUUGCCGAGCGGAGCUCACGACCCAGAACGGCGCUCCGCGUCCACCAGGUCGCCCCAGCGAGGCUGACAAUGGGCGCCGGGACCCUUGCGGGGUCGAACUGGAAGGGGCUUCCGGGCCCCGGGCCCCGGCGCUUUCUCCUGCGGCGCAGACUGGGAUAGAGCGUAGACUGCAGAGAAAUCGGGUUUCGGAAAAGCAGCAUCGGCGCUGGCCUGACGCAGGUCCCGACUCGGGAGAGAGGAAGGAGCCCCGGGGGGAGGGGGUUGGCUGGAGGGGUCGGCUGGUGGCCGCCUCUAGCCCUCGGCAGCCAGAUGAAGAAAAGGAAAGCGAACUCAUUUUCCUCGGAGGGACAAGAGGGCUCCAGCGCGCUCUCCUCCCCAGGCCUAGAAACAGGUUCCCAAGCGUCCUCCGACCGCCAAUCGAUCCCGGCUGCCCGCCCGUAACCGAUGAUGGUAGGAAAGCAGAGAGGAACUGCGGGCAGCGGCACCUCCCCCGGGCCGAGGCUGGGCGGGCGAGUCCGGACCUGCGCCGCUCUCUGCACAAAACGAAACCCAAACUCCUCAAAAUCUUAAGAGGGAAAUUUUUUAAAAUCCCCUUUCCCCUCUUGCACUUUUAACAAACCAGCUACUGGGAGAAAAAAAACGAAAUGAGCGCUAGCUAAGGACACUUAUCUUUUCAAAUUGUGAAAUCCCGUUUAAAAAUAUUUCCUCCAAGGCCAGCCCUUCUGAAGCCUUUGCCUCUUCCUGAAAAUUCCAACUAAACAAUCGGAAUUUCGACCACGGUCCUGGGAAGAAGGAAUAGCCGUGAGGCCCAGGGAACCCACUGUGGCCAAAUUGCCAUGCUCUUGUUUCUCUUUAACCAAGGGGAAAAAAAAAAAAAAAAAGAUAAGAAGAAGUAAAACCUUUUAAUACAUCAAAUAUACGGAAUUUUAAUCUUUAAAGCGAUACAUUGUCUAUUAUUUUAGUACAUGACGUAAACCUUGUCCCCUUUUCAGCGGGUGGACUUAAAAAUUAAAAAUAGUUAAGUGUUCCUUUUAAAGAACAAAAUAAGGCAAAUGAGGUUUUGGAAUAGAAUUGUUUUUCCUUUUUUUUUUUUUGUUUUCUUCCAGAAUACAUACAAAAAAAUACCCAUUCUCUUUUGAUGGUAUACACCUUAAAAAUAAUUGCAAUUUGAAAUCAGAGCUGACAAAUUGUGACUUGUUUUGUUUUUUUUUUUCAUUUUUGUAACAAACAUGCAUGUAAAUUUGUGUUUCAAUCAGACAUUAAAUAAGAACGUACAAUAUACAAUCAUAGCAAUUUUAAAGUAACAUUAAAGAGAAGACCUCUAGUUCUGUGGCGGUUUUGUAUUUAUUUAUAAUCUACAAGGGAUGGGAGGGUUUGUUUUCCACAUUUUUAACCCUCAAGUUUUAAUUUUUCCCCCUUCUUCCUUUUUACCUACAGAGCUCAAACUAAGUAAUGCACUUUUGAACCACGGGUCCGCUUGGAGCUAACAUAAAUAAAUACCAGUGUCCACCGAUGCA
rnacentral:lncRNA from 1 species